AUUGAACGCUGGCGGCAUGCCUAACACAUGCAAGUCGAGCGAGCUGCGGACGGGUGAGUAAUGUAUGGGGACUGCCCGAUAGCGGGGGAUAACUACUGGAGACGGUAGCUACUACCGCAUACUAUCGGAUAACCCAUAUGGGAUUAGCUAGUAGGGGAGGUAAUUGCUCACCUAGGCGACGAUACCUAGCUGGUCUGAGAGGAUGAUCAGCCACACUGGGACUGAGACACGGCCCAGACUCCUACGGAGGCAGAAGUGGGGAAUAUUGCACAAUGGGCGCAAGCCUGAUGCAGCAAGGCGGCGUGUAUGAUGAAGGCCUUCGGGUGGUAAAGUACUUUUGGCAGAGAAGCGGUAUCUGCAGAAUAAGCAACGGCUAACUACGUGCCAGCAGCCGCGGUAAUAC
rnacentral:rRNA from 1 species